AGGAUCACUCUCGAGGAGAAAAGAGGAGCAACCGUCUUAGCCACUCUGCACACAGACUGCCUUGCUCCUGCCUAUCUAGAGAGCCAGAAAUGGACUCAGCAAUACCCUGUUCACCAGUGCUUUUACGCAGAGAGGAAAGAAACUCCUUCAAAAGUGGUACACGCUCCUCCUACACUGCAUCUCUUAGACAAUUCACCUAUUCAAAGGGGUGUAUCAGGUGUCUACUUAUAACCUGCACAAAAGUGACAAAGCUACCAGUCAAGAGAACUUGCAGGUGAGAAGCCAUAUGCAGUUGGC